rnacentral:lncRNA from 1 species
AAGAUCCUGCUUUCUUUUUAUAAUUUUGUCUUUCGGAUAAUGGAUUGUUCAUUCGAUUUUUGGCAGAUGCAAAAAGCUUUCGGCUAAUUUCAACUUCCGCAUAUUUGUGCGAUUUAAGGGCAAACUUUUGGCUCAUUAUUUAGGCUUUUAUUUUUACCUUUUGCAUUGGUAUGAGUUUCUUGAUUUAUUGAAUAUUGUGUGCUUCUUGGGUUUCUCUUUUGUUUGAUAUUGUUUGGUUUUGUUCUGUGAAACCUCAUUUAAAUACUUUUCUCUGAUGAAAUGAAUUAAUUUAUGUACUCGGCUUUCUUGUUGUACUUAGAAAUUUGAAGAAAACACACAUUUGGGCAAAUCUCUGAAUUCUUGACGGAAUUAUUUGCUACUGAAAAUAUAGAAAACUAUAUCUGGUUUUAAGGUUUUUUAAGCCUUUGAAUGAUGCUCAAAUAAUUGAGUUUGGCUUGUAAUUAAAGAUUUUUCUUUGACUGCUUGAAAUGAUUAAUGCUAUAUUACAUGAAUAUGGGAUUGGUGAAAUAUUCUUUAUGCCCUUUUGUUUGAUAAUGUUAUAGAGGGUAGGAAGAAUACAAGGAAAACCAGGUUUAUUCAAAUUGUGUGGCAAGAAAACAGGUUUUAACAAUUGGUGAAUUAUCGCCAGUAGAAGCAUUUUAAAGAUGGGUCUAAAAUCUAAAACAAGGGUGGAGAGGUAAUAGAAUUAAUAUAGACAUUUGAGAGCUUUGGACAGUUUGAUUGAAGAGAGGGGAGUAAAAAUGGCUGCCAAGCUUUUACAUUCAUUGACAGAUGAAAAUCCCGAUUUGAAAAGCAAAUAGGAUGUAUGGCAGACAUAUUUCAAAUGUUCGAUCGCCAUCAUAUUUUUACUGGAUAGCACAUCUAGAAGAGGAUUCCUUUGGGUAAAUAUUCCCUGUAGUAUUGUUUCUUGACUAUAAUCUUAUAGGAUUUCUUAUCUGCUUAGUUCGAUAUUCUAUAACUAGUGAGAAUACUAAAUAUGACUAUAGCUUAAUUUUUCAGGUUGUGAGUAAUGUUUUAUUAGGAUCGUGAUCGAGAUCUAAACAAAGUAAAAUGGGUUGAUCUUGGUGAAGAAGCAACUGAGAUGAUUUUGAUGAAGAAACAACUGGAGCCACUAUUGGAGAUGCCUUUGGCGGUGGCUGGCAUGGGAAAGAAGAUAUCGGAACUACUUCGGUCGCCAAAACAGUGCCCUUGUCUUUUCUCUUUCUUUUUUUUUUCUUUUCAUUUUAUUUAUAUUUAUAUGGUAAUUAUGAACUUACAGAUUUGCCCUUCAAUUAAAUGGUCAAAAUGAGUAAAAAAAAAUGAAUUUUUUAGUCAAUUGACGGAUGAAUGAACAAAUUCCAUCCACGUGUCCUCCAUUUGCAACAGUCAUUAAAGGUUUCCCAGCUACUAAAAUGAAAAGUUUUGGUAUAUUCUGCUAAGUUUCGAAAGGUUAGGGACCUUGACUACUAUUCUCCUGUAAUACAAAUUAAACAUAAGGUGUGCUAUUAUAACUAUAAAGCAUAUGUUUUAAUUAAACAAAGAACC